CCCCUAGAUGUUCUGGGCCGCACGCGCGCUACACUGAACAGUUCAACAAGUCUUAACCUUGGCCGAUAGGUCUAGGUAAUCUUUGAACGCUGUUCGUGAUUGGGAUAGACCUUUGCAAUUAUGGGUCUUCAACGAGGAAUUCCUAGUAAACGCAAGUCAUCAGCUUGCAUUGAUUACGUCCCUGCCCUUUGUACACACCGCCCGUCGCACCUACCGAUUGAAUGGUCCGGUGAAAUCUCGGGACGGCGGCUUGGUCGCUUGCGUCCGACUGCUGAAACUUGAUUAAACCAUAUCAUUUAGAGGAAGGUGAANUCGUANCA
rnacentral:rRNA from 1 species